ensembl:lncRNA LINC01593 long intergenic non-protein coding RNA 1593
AUCUGGUUACCUCUGCACAACACAGAAGACAGGUUGAGGAAGACGGAAAGCUGAGGGGCUUCUUCAGGGAAAAAUAAUCUCAGCGUAGCAUCCCUGUAAGCCUGUCUCCAUCUUACUUGAAGGGACUUGCUUGGAUUUCUCCAAAUCCAUCGUUUGUGUUGUGCCAGGCCAUGACUAUUUCUCUCUGUGAUAAAUACUUAAUGCAAAUGGCAAGCCAUCCUGAGGGAGGCUGGCAUCCGUACCUACUGAGAAGGCCAGCAAACAGUGUGUGAAGCACCGACGUCAAAGGCCAUUAAUGCAAAUGCAAAUUGACAUUUUUCAUCAAGGUCUAACAGUACACCAACAGAUCAUUAAAAAGCUCGAUAUUCAUUUCUUCAGUGAUGAGGUU